rnacentral:rRNA from 1 species
UACGUAGGGCGCAAGCGUUGUCCGGAAUUAUUGGGCGUAAAGAGCUCGUAGGCGGCCAGUUGCGUCCGCUGUGAAAUCCUGGGGCUUAACCCCGGGCGUGCAGUGGAUACGGGCUGGCUAGAGGCAGGCAGGGGAGAACGGAAUUCCCGGUGUAGCGGUGAAUGCGCAGAUAUCGGGAGGAACACCCGUGGCGAAGGCGGCUCUCUGGGACGGUACUGACGCUGAGACGCGAAAGCGUGGGGAGCGAACAGG